rnacentral:rRNA from 1 species
GAUGAACGCUGGCGGCGUGCUUAACACAUGCAAGUCGAACGGACAGAUACUGCUCUUGUGGGGUGCUCGUGAGGCGCACGGGUGAGUGUCACGUGUGUAUCACGCCCUUAUAUUUGGGAUAUCUCCUGGAAACUCGGGAUCAAACAGGGUAGGACAUCCAGAUGCACGGGGGUGUAUGGAGAGUGUCGGCGGUUGGAGAUGUAUUCGCGGCUUAUCAGCUGGUUGGUGGGGUGGUUGCUUACACAGCCUUUGACGGGUAGCCGGCCUGAGAGGGUGACCCGCCACAUUGGGACUGAGAUACGGCCCAGACUCCGACGGGUGGCAGCAGUGCGGAAGAUUGCACAAUGGGCGGAACGCUGGUGCAGCAACGCCGCGUGUGGUAUGACGGUCUUCGUGUUGUAAACCGAUUUCGCCUGUGACUAAGCGUGAGUGACGGUAACGUAUUAAGAAGCACCGGCUUACUACGUG